CAUCUUCACCAUUUCUUUGUUUCCGCCGUUUGAAGAGAAAUAAUAAUAGGAAGUCAUGGUUAAACCUUUCCAACCUUUCCAUCCAUGCAAAUUGUGAAUGUUCGGAGCGUGUCGAUUGGAUCAGCCAGAAGCACACACCUACCGUCUCUCAAAUUCGGUAGUCUUUUGAAUGAUUCAAUCUUGGUUAUUUGUGGCAUGUACAUAAGUUGAUCAAACACAUGUAAAGGCACUUAUAUAUGUUUUGGUUUGGAUGGUCCUUGCAAAUAAGUACAUAUUCUAUAUGGUAACUUGUUGGAAUGAUGUUUUAGUUAAUGUAGAGUUUGAUAUUUAAACU